ACAAAAGAGAAAGGAAGGAAAAGGCUUAAAUCUCUAAUUUCACUUCCCUCAAGCCUCAACCCUAGAGAGAGAACAAAAGCAAGGCUAAACCCUGGUUUCCCCCUGAGCUAACAUGAGAUAACCAUCAUCUGGGUCGAGCUGAGAAGGAUAAGGAUGAGUAUAAAAGGGAAAAAGACCAAAAACUCCUUGCUGCCACGCAGCUACUGCCUCUGCUGCUUGCUGUACCGGUACAGCAUCAUGCAUGUACCGGUACACCAAUACAAAAUGGCCAAUUUCGCAGGAGCAAUGCACAUUCUCGCUUCCCACAUCCCGAUCACUCUCAAACUUAUUCAUAAACAUCUUUAAACCCUUUAGAACAUGUAGGAAGGUUCUGAAUGUCAUUCCCCUUACUCGAACUUCGUAGUUUACACAAGCUUAGUAUACUACAAAAUCGGAGCCACCUCGACCUCCGCGCGCCGCCACCGCCCACCGUCGGGUGCGCCACCCUCCCUCGGCCUCCGGCUACUGAUCGUCAUCGCCCCGCCGCUCCUCCAGCCGCCACCUAGCCGCCGCUGCUUUCCUAGGCUGAGUCGAGCCAUGCAGGCUCGUAGAUCUCCACCGCGCCACCAGCCGCUCCCUGCCACCGGCCAACGCGAGCCCCGGCCCCCUCUGUCUGGCCGCAACCACCUCCGGCUAGCUAGCCUGUCGUCCGGCAGCCGCCGGCCGCCCCGUGCCCUACUGUGCUCCGAUAAGGCUAAUUACUGUUUUCUGCACUUUGUUACGGGUUCCGGUCGCCUUUUCGGCGAUCCGAGGAUACCCCGAUGCUCCCGAAAGUGAGCACGAUGAUCCCUACUUCGUGCUAAACAUCGUGCUCACCUCCGUUGGGGUCAACGAUGCCCCGGUUUGCGCGUUAGACGCGAUUUAGGCGUUGUGCGCGCUAUUUCGCUGAUGUUCGCGUCGCUCGCGCGCUCACCACGGUGGUUGGCAGUGCUCCGAAGUGUGAGCACGACUUCUGGCACGCCGAGACCUGUCAGCGGGUGUCUCGGCUUGGUUGAAUGAUCCUCGGUUUGCGCUAUCGGGCCAUAAAACCCCGAAAAUCACAUGAAACAAUGUGAUUUUAUGCAAUCGGGAGGGUUUUUAUGCAAUUGUGCGUGUUAUAGCUACUGUUGGCGGCGUGUGCGGGUAGCGGAUGACCUCUGGACUAGUUGUCCAAGGCUCCAAGCCUUUCCGGAAAUCAAAUGUUGAUUUUCCGUGUGUUUUUCGGCGAAAUCCGCCGAUGGAACACAUUUUCGGUUCGGAAUUCUUCCGACAAUGUCUCGUGAUAAUUUGUGACAUCGCUGGUCAACCGUGUCAUUUUGAGGGUUCGGAAACGACGGGUGAGCGACGGUGGGUUCCGGUGUCGAAUUGGACACUUUCGGAAACCCGGAUCGAAAUAAUUAUCCGAUGAUAAUCGUUUCAGAGUGAGUUAGUGUUUUUGCUGCCAAGUCACACGAAAAUAUGUAUUUAGUGGCAGCGGGCGACUCGUAACAUGAGUCGGUGAGUUUCGAGACAGUUUGUGGGUCCCGGUGGAGUUCCGGUGCGGUUUUUAGGACUUCCGACGUGUUCGGCAAUCGGUUUUAGGAAACCGAUUCUCGUAGGUUCACUGGUGGGGAUUGUGAGUUAGUGAUUCAUGUUAUGGGUUAGACGCUAACCCGGUGGACCUUUCGUAGGUCUGGUUGUGACUUCCUCCGCAGUUGGAAGGCCAGUACCAUAUUUGUACAGGUGGGUACUUCGAUUCGAAGUCGGUACUGUGGUGCACGCUCGGUGACGUUGCAGGUCCUAGUGGGACGGUUCGUGAGGAGCACGCUUAGUGAUCGAUAGAGCCACCGUCCCGUUGUUCGUUAAUUUUCUAACCUAGCUUCAUUUAAAUAAAUGACUUAGACAGUUAAUUGGUUCAGUGACUUAUCACUUUUGAAUUUAUAUGGUUUUAUGAAUGUAAUAAAGGAUUUGUGGAUUUUGUGAAAUGGAAAUGAUUUUCUACCCCUCGUGGUAGCGAGUUUUACAAGUAAAAGGUUUCCGUGUAGAAAAUAGUUUUUAAAAAGGUUUUCUCGUGGUUUUCAUGACUUAGUAUUUCAAAACGAGUUUCCGAGUAGGAAACAUUUUAAAGUAAUAGUUGUGGUUUUAUGGAUACUUGUUAAUUGAAACCAAUGUGAAUGUGAAUAGUAUAUGAUUAUCUGUGGAUGUUCAUAUGUGUGGUUGUCUUUGGUAUGGUAAAGUUUGUAUAUUGUACUUGUGCGACGCCGUGCAAAUACAGGGGAGACUCUAUCCGUGUGAACAGUGGAAUCCCUAUAUUUGUGGCGGAUCUGGCAUACCCUGGGGGUCAGGUUUCAAAAAAAAAAAAAAAUUUGGGCACUUCCGCUAUGAUUUUUAACCAAAAAGGGACCCCGGGGCGUGACAGUUUUUCCAUCCAUGAAUGUUCCUUCCUUAUACACAUGAAUUUUCAAAUAAACUUCAGCAUGUUGAGGCUCUUUCUUCUGUGGAUCAUAUUUCCUCUAAAAUAAACAUAAUAUAGUUUAGAAUAAUUACGUCUUAAAAUUAUUAAGAAAAAAGUAAAAAAUUAACAUUAUCAAUCACUUUAAUAUGAUAGAAAUUACCAUUUCCUCUGCAACAUGAGCAAAACUCUUUGUUCCUACAGUGUGAGUCGCCAUUAGCAUUGUACGAUUCCUUUUAUUUCUUGUGCUGCGUAACUGGGGCAUAUCAUAUUACAUUUAAAACUCAUAAAGCCACAUAGAAUCGUACACGAGUAAUUUAAUACAACAAAUAAUAACAUUUUUUAGCAAUAAGACAAUUUAUACCUGUCACGCCCCGCGACUGCCAAUUUGGUCAGUUCGGACACGUCAACAGACACCGAACGGACAACACCUCCCCUGUCCACCCAAGACUCCACCAACACAUGUAUAUCAACAACAACUCAAACAAGAGAAUGCAAGUAUACAUGGCUUGCACGAGGGCAAGCAACAACCAACACAAGUGAAAGUAAUCUAACUAUUACAUUCAUACAUUGUAAAUUGAUCAUUUUGAAUCAAAUAUAAAGCUUAUACAUUUUCUUUACAUCUAUUCUGUAACACACUGAACUUUAGCAAAUUGUAAGGUUCGAGUGUUUGAUUUGUGCUCUUAGCCUUUUUGGGUUUUCUGUUUGGUCGUUGACUAUGUUCCGACCUAUGAGUCGCAUCUCGAGGAGCGAGGGUGAAAACUUAGCACCAAAUCUCUAAAAUGAAGAAUUUAGGUUGCUCUUGGGUUUGCCUCUGUAGGGCAGAGUACCGGUACUACAUUGAUCCCGUACCGGUACUAGACCUGGUACCGAUACGGCAUCGGGCUGGUACCGGUACCCAGUGCAUUCUCUCGCCAACCCGAGGCUCGGGUUUGCGCAGACUGCUGCUUGGUAUCGGUACUCUUUCUUGUGUCACCGGUACGCAGUGCAGUUCGCAAACUGCAGUUUUUUAAGGAUGUUUUUGAUAUUGUAGCAACUCUAUAAAGCACCCCACGCCCCUUCUAGGACUCCCUGAGCUUGGAAUAGUGGAGAAACAGGUAGGGGACCUCUCCACUUCCCCUUUUUGAUUUUCUUCCCGUUUUCUUGGAUUUUUAGAGGAUUAAUCACCUCUUUUGCUCCCUUUUGGCAUUAUGGUGGCUUUUUCUCCAUGGGUGAAGCCUUGGAGCAUUGUUUAGAGCUUGUUUGAUCUAGCACCAUCCUAGCUAGGUUUGGAGCAUCAAGGGAGGUUAGUAAGCUUGAUCUUCCCUUUAGAUCAUAUUUUUGGAGGAUUUUUGUGAAUAAACCUAGAAAUGAGAAAUCUAGGGUUUAUUUGGGGAUUUUUGAUUUGUAGCUUUUGGAGUUCAAUUGAUUGGUUUAGAACCUCCCUUUAGGUUUGUUUUGAAUGGUUUUAGCUCUCAUAUGGAGAUUGAGAGAGACUUUCACCAUACAAGGGUGCUAGGAGGCAAGUGGACACCUUCUUUUGCGCAAACGAAAGGGUUGCAAAGAGUUCUUGAUGGGUUUGACCUCACCGAAAUGGAGCCUUCCGCACCGGGUGAGGCUAGGGAUCACAGCAAGGGUGUCGCUACUAGCUAGUUGCGAGGGAUUUCUCUUUUAGGUGGUUCACCUCUCUUUUUGUUUUAUUUGGAGAGGUUGAAAGUUUUGUACCUUGUAGAGACCACCAUUUUUGUAUAUCUAGCACUUGUAUUUGAAACAUAUGAUGUAUCUACCUUAUGUUUUAUGUUAGUGGUUUAGUUCUUUUCUCCACUUGCUAUUA